CAUUUUUUUUGUUUCAGUGAGUGUGAAUUGUUCAGAUGUUUUACACUUUUCCCUCUACCUUCUCGAGAAACAAAGAAAGAUUUUUGGGUUUCAUACAAUGUGAGCCUAAUUAUACUUCCUAAACCCUAAACCCCAAUUAAAAAUUUAAAAAAUAAAAAAAACUAGAAUGUAGCAAUCGGAAGAUGGAAACUUUACAAACAGUGGAGCCGGAGCCGGCCACUGAUCUAACACCGAUACUACCCCAACGACGGUGUAUAUACGUUGCGCUAUUUGGCUGCUACGUCUUGCAUGCAUGCUGCAGAAAAUAAAUUGGAAAAUAUGUCAUAGUUGCAAACAAAGUUAAACAUGAAAGGCCUCCAAAUAGUUCUCCCACGAUUUUACCGAGUUGCCCGUAGUAUUUAAGGGGAGGAAGAUAAAUGUCUAGCAGAAAACAGAAGCAAACGCACUUGAAUCAGCAGAAAGUAACAAGUCUUUGAGUUUAAAAUGACGAUUUUCAUUUAUUGCGGCGGUUUUCAAGAUUUAGCGUCAAUUUUCUGACUUUUAGUGACCAUUUUAAUGUGAAAACGAUAUUAAUUUUCUUUUGCGACAAUAAAAUUCGUCGCUAGUUGUCGCUAAAGAUGUAAAUAUCUUUUGCAACAAAUGAAUUCGUUGCAAAAGAUCACUUUUGUAGCGACUAAAAGGUCGCCGCUAAAAGUCCAACGGAAAUUAAAGACUUCGCCUCCUUUUCCCUUCAGGUAAUAUUUUUGUUUUUAGGACGGAACCAUUCAGGUGAUGGUUUUCGUCCAAUAACCUAAUUUUAUGGACCCUUUUGAAGGAUACAAUAUUAAGCCUUCCAACCAUUUUAAUGGUUUUCGUCCAAUGACCUAAUUUUAAGGAUCCUUUUGAAGGAUCCAUCUUCGGAUACAAUAUUAAGCCUUACAACCAUUUCAAACGAAAUUUGGUAACAAUUCCCGACUCUUGGCCGUACUUGAGUGAUUCUCAGAUGAAUCGAAGUGAGCUGUGAUGCCUGGACCAUUGAGACUUAUAACCUGGACGUUGAUACGUGACGAUGAUACGUUGACGCCUGCAAAAACACCAAAUCAAAGUUCCAUUAAGCAUCUUCCCAAAACAAACCUAAACUCACAAAUCAACUUCUAUAGAAACCAAAUAACAGCUAUUUUUUUCCCAAACUAAUACUUGUAGUCGGAAAGAAACUACGUAAAAAAAUUCAAGGACAUUAAAUACAUCACUGCAGAAACCAACAACAAGAUGAGAAAGGAACAAUGAUAAAAACGAGAUGAGAAAGGAAUAAUGACAUGUAUUACCAAAUAUCUCCGAUCAAAGGCAGUUAGAAUUUAUUUUCAUGUUAGCAUUCUCGAAGGACUAGGGUCCAAACCCACAUAAGCAUGUAACCAGUUUCCAACUAAUUCCACAGAAAGUGAACCAGGUCAAAUUCUAAGACUGAGUUCAGAGAAACGUACAGAACUUAGUAGACUACCAGGAAAAAAAAUGCUACUCCAUAACUGCUCCGACAACAGCCAAAAUACAACUAAUAAGAAACAGAAAUUCAAGUGUUUAACUCACGAAUAAACAUCAAAUUCACUGACACUGCAUUAAACAAGAGAUUAUUGCUUCUAUUUUUCUAUAAAUUAUUGCCCAAAUACAAGGGAUAAAAUUUAGUAAUUUACGAAUAGCUAACUCACUCUGAGUCACACAAAACACUAGGAAUCUAGGAUACAUGACCAUCAAAGGGCACCAGACACCAAGUGAACAGAGCCCCAAAAGGUAUAAAUAAGAAGUCACACCAUAUUCGACUGAUUUCCUUAUCUUGCCAAAUACAACCAAACUGAAUGGAGAAAUCUCAAUAUGCACUUGCAAACAAUGAGAUGCAAACUCGGACAAAAACUGAUGUUUAAGUCCUAAAUAAAACAUGGAUGACAUGAUGAAGCUCAUUUGCCACAUAAGAAAUAACCAAAAACAAACAGAAAAAGCUCCUGAAAUGUAAAGGCUUAAACAUCAGCAGAACUUAAAACAGACGCCAAAAUCGGGUCACAGGGCCAUUACAAACUCGACAUUCAUGUUUCCCUAGGUACAUUAUUAGUGCUUUUGUCAUUUUAGGAUAUAGAAUUUUCCUCCAUUCAUACUGAUACAGCGAUGCUAUAUACUUUUUCUUAAGAAUGGAAUGGCAGAAAAGAAUUUUCUAUAUUAAUUCUCAAUGAAUAUACAAGCUGCGCUAGGGUUCUUAUACAAACUGCAAGAAUACAAUCACAACUUCUAACUCCUACAAAUCAGCUAAGUAAAUAUUUGUACAAAGGGAAAGAAUAAAUCACUGAUAGUCAAUGAUUAUCAUGCUACCAAAUAGGAAGGAAACUAAUCAUAUCUCAACACUCCCCCUCAAGUUGGCGAGUGAAUGUCAAAAACUGCUAACUUGCUCAGCAAAAAACGAAAUUGAUCUUUUCCUAAAGGCUUCGUCAAUAUGUCUGCAACCUGCUUUGAAAGAUGGAACAAAUUUGGUGACUACCUUUCCUUCUUGAAUUUUAUCUCGAACAAAAUGGCAGUCAAUCUCUAUAUGGCGUGUCCGCGCUCAUGAAAAACAGGAUUAGAGGCAAUGUGAAGAGCUGCUUGGUUAUCACAAUGUAAAAGAGCAGGACCCAUAUCUUUAAUGUGCAAAUCACAUAAAAGACUUUGUAACCAGGUGAGCUCACAACAGGUAGCAGCCAUUGAACGGUAUUCUGCUUCUGCAGAAGACAAUGAGACUGUCUUCUGUUUUUUGCUUUUCCAUGAAAUUAAAGAAUCUCCAAGGAAAACACAAUAUCCGGUAGUAGAACGUCGAGUUACUGGACACCCUGCCCAAUCAGCAUCACAAAAGGCCUUCAAUCUUAACGAACUUUGUGAGGAAAACAAAAUACCUUGGCCUGGAGUGUUUCUUCAAGUAUCUCAAAACACGUAAAGCUGCAUCAUAGUGAGGCUUGCGAGGAUGUUGCAUGAAACGACUUAACGUGUUUACUGCAAAAGUAAUAUCAGGCCUGGUAAUAGUUAAAUAUAUCAAAACGUCCUAUCAAUCUCCGAUAGAUGGACGGAUCAUGAAGUAAAUCUCCUUCAUCAGGAAGUAGCUUUAGAUUCUGUUCCAUGGGGAAACUAGCUGAGCGUGCUCCCAAAAAAACCAACAUCUUUCAAAAUGUCCAAUAAAUAUUUUCUUUGAGAAAUAAAGAUCCCCUUUCUUGAACGACGAGCAAUCUCUAUUCCUAAAAAAUAUUUAAGGGCUCCUAAAUCUUUGAUGCGGAAGCGUUUAUUCAAAAAAGAUUUAAGAGAACCAAUAGCCGCCAUGUCAUUACCAGUGAUCAAGAUGUCAUCAACGUAAAUAAGGAGAGCUGUGAACGAUUUGCCAACUUUUCUUGUAAAAAGGGAAUAAUCGGCUUUGGACUGUGUAUACCCAGCUGCAGAAAUGGCUUCAGAAAAUUUAAAAAACCACUGCCAAGAAGCCUGCUUUAAUCCAUACAAAGACUUGUGAAGGCGACAUACUAAAUGCUCCCCCUGUCGCUGAAGACCAGGAGGUGGAACCAUAUAUAUUUCCUCAAGGAGAUCACCAUGGAGGAAAGCAUUGUGGACAUCCAUUUGAUGGAGAGACCAGCCACUAGCAGCCGCAAGAGCAAGGAGACAACGAAAGGUAACCAACUUGGCAGUCGGGGAAAAGGUAUCCUGAUAAUCAACACCCUCAAUUUGAGUGUAACCCUUGGCCACUAAACGAGCUUUGUAACGCUCAAUAGUGCCAUCAGACUUGUGCUUGAUUUUGUAGACCCAACGACAACCAAUAGGGAUCUUGCCAGGGGGAAGAGCAGUCAAAGACCAAGUGGCAUUAGCUUCGAGAGCCUGAAUCUCCGAGGCCAUAGCAUCACGCCACCGAGGAUCUUUAGCAGCCUCUGCAUAUGUGUUAGGUUCAACAGGAAGAGUAAUAUUGGCAAUAAAACUUUGAUAAGAUGGAGAAAGAUGUUGAUAAGAAAUAUGCUUGCAUAAAGGGUGACGAGUACCUUUGGCAGAAGAACCUGGAGUCGAUGCUUGGAGUGGGGAAGACGAGGAAACAUGAGAGCAAACAUAGUCAUCAAGAUAAGUAGGGGUACGUUUAGGCCUAUCAGAAUGUCGUAUUGGGGGGGGUGCAAGUGGGAGACCAGGUGACGGAGAAGGACUAUCGGUGACGGUGUGGUCUAGGAGAAGUGGAACAAGGGAGGUGGAUGGAGACUCAAUGGCAACAGGAGGGGCGGAAGGCUCAAUGACGAAGGGAGUAGGUGGCAUCUCAAUGGCAUCAUGAGUAGGAGGAGGCAAGACAGGUUCAGGAGGUUGGGUUGAAGAAGUGGUGAUAAAAGGAAAAUGAGACUCAUGAAAAAUGACAUCGCGGCUGGUGAACACUUUGUGAGUAGAAAGGUCGUACAACUUAUACGCUUUUUGACCAAAGGGAUAUCCUAUAAAGACACAUUUUCUGGCUCGUGCAUCAAAUUUAUGAAGAGGGUGAACAUUAGUGGCAUAGGCUAAACAUCCAAAAAUACGUAAGUGUGCGUACGAUGGAGGAUGACCAUAAAGAACCUCAAAAGGGGAUUUAUUUGACAAAAGUGGUGUGGGUAAGCGAUUUAUGAGAUAGAUGGCAGUAAGGACACAAUCUCCCCAAAAAUACAAAGGUAAGUGACUUUGAAAACAUAGUGCCCUAGCUACUUGCAAAAUAUGACGAUGUUUCCGCUCGACUACUCCAUUUUGUUGUGGAGUAUAUGUGCAAGAACGUUCAAAAAUCACACCGCUCUCGGAAAAGAAAGAAUGUAGGGACAAAAACUCACUACCAUUAUCAGUUCGGAUUUUCUUAAUUUUGUGAUGGAAUUGAGUUUCUACAUAAGAAAAGAAAGUCUUAAGCAACUGUUGUGUUUCAGAUUUAUUUCACAUCAAAAAGAGCCAAGUGGUGCGAGAAAAAUCAUCAACAAUGGUUAGGAAAUAUCGAGCCCCAUUAUAUGUAGAAAUUUUGUGUGGUCCCCAAAUGUCACAAUGAACAAGCUCAAAAAUGUGUUUACUGGCAAUAUGACUUAAUGGAAAAGGCAAUCUAGUUUGUUUUGCCAAAGGGCAAACAUCACAAGGUUUAUUUAAAUGAGAAGAAACAUCUAACGAUUGCUUAGCUAAAAGGUGGAGUCGUUGUGGAGAGGGAUGACCAAGACGGCGAUGCCAUGAAAUGGAAUUAAUGCAACUGGAUGACGGUGAAGUGGUGCAGCUAUUGUUUGGUUUGGUGAGAUAGUAAAGACCGCCACGUUGUCUACCCCAUCCAAUCAUCUUUCUCGUCUCCAGGUCCUGGAAGAUACAAAAAUCCGGAAAAAAAGUUAUGGAACAUCGAAGGGAUUUUGUUAAACGACUAACGGAUAUCAAAUUAACCAAAAAUGAGGCAAUUCGUAAAACGUUAGUUAAGGAAAGUUUGGGAUCAAAAGUAAAAUUGCCAAUACUACUAAUUGAAACCCUUUCACCAGUCGGAAGUUUUACUGGAGGCAAAGACUUGUUCACAGUAGAGUUCGAUAAGGGAAGUGCCGUAACAUGAUCUGUAGCGCCACUAUCAAUUAUCCACUCUUGUGAAUGAUGAGGAGACAAACCUGUGACGGCAUUGGUCUGUGCUUCAGAUGGUAGAUUUCCAGCCAUCAUAGCAAAGAGUUGUUGAAGCUGCUCAGGAGUGAAAGUCAUCGGUGUUGCUGAGGUAGAUGAAGAAGUGGUAGAAGUUGAAGCUUGAACAUGGUUGGUCGCUGGUUUUCCCUCCUUACUGCGGCCCUUUCCCUUGUUCUUUUUAUGAAGACGAUGGUCCUCGGGAUAUCCAUGGAGUUGGUAGCAAGUCUCCUUAGUGUGGUGAGCUGUGUCACAAUAAUCGCAAUGGAGCGGUUUGCGAUUCCCUUGGCUGCCACGACUUUGUUGAUUGCCGCGACCACCUUGAAUGGCCAUGACUGCUCCUUCCAGACUUGGUUGUGGGACGGCUGUAAUUCCACGUUGCUUCUCCUCUUGAUUAACCAUGGAAAAAACUUUGAGCACCGAAGGCAAUGGCUUUACAAGCAGAAUCUGACCUCUCACUGCUGCAUAUGAAUCAUCAAGCCCCAUUAAAAAUUGCAUAACCUUAUUCUGCUCAUCUUUCUCGUUACGGUCGUUCAUGGCACCACAUGAGCAAUUUUUAUGGCUGCCGUAAGAAGAUAACUCAUCCCAUAAACCCUUCAAUUGGGAAUAAUAGUCAGACACGGACAUCUGAUUUUGAGUGAGACGUGCAAUGUCACGCUGAAUCUCGAAAAUUCGUGGGACGUUGUCUUGCGAAAAACGAGUCUUGAGGUCCUCCCAAACAUCAUGUGCAGUGUCGGCAUAAACCACACUGUUGGAUAACCCAGAACUCACAGAGUUUAAAAUCCACAUGAGAACCAUGUCAUUACAACGCUGCCAAAGAGCAGCUUCAGUUGCGUUCUUGUCGGACGGCUGCUUCACAGACCCAUCAACAAAACCAAAUUUGUUCUUUGCGCUAAGAGCAAUGCGCAUUGAACGAGACCAUGUGCUAUAAUUGUUUCCAGUAAGUAGAGUGGAAACAAGAUGCAUCCCUGGAUUAUCAGAGGGAUGAACAUAGAAGGGGCUUGAGGGAUCGUUCGACGCCGCAACCGACUUGGAGUCUCCCAUAGCAAAAAAAAGAACGACUUUUCUUACAAGAAAAACCGAAGGAAAAAAAGAGGAGAAACCAAGAAAAAAAAAACGUCCUAGGAUCUUGGACUCUCUGGUACCAUCUUAAGAAUGGAAUGGCAGAAAAGAAUUUUCUAUAUUAAUUCUCAAUGAAUAUACAAGCUGCGCUAGGGUUCUUAUACAAACUGCAAGAAUACAAUCACAACUUCUAACUCCUACAAAUCAGCUAAGUAAAUAUUUGUACAAAGGGAAAGAAUAAAUCACUGAUAGUCAAUGAUUAUCAUGCUACCAAAUAGGAAGGAAACUAAUCAUAUCUCAACACUUUUCACCUCAGACUAGUGAAGGAAAGAAACCAAAUACACGAAAAGUACAUCUAAAACCAAUUACAAAGUAUAUGUGUUUGGACCCGAUUUUACACCAUCGGCCCAAGUAAUCGAGGCCGUUGGGUAAGCAAUUUUAAAGGAUAGUAUUAUGAUUUUUAUCGUAAUAUUUAUCCGUUAAUAUUAAUUACUCUUGGCAUAUUCUUAUUAUAUUUUCAAGCAAGCAGUACAGUUCGAGUGGGCUUGGAAUUCUUGUUAUCAGAUUGAGAUAACAUGAUGGGUGUGAUUAGAAUUGUCAAGAUGCAUGGUUUUCUUCUAUGCGUGGGAUGCCAAGAUGAAAUCUCUGAUAAUGGAGCCGCUCAUAUCCUAGAUGGGAUAAUUAUUAGCAUAAAAAUAUAUGCUAAUAUAUGCAAAUUGGUUGGCUGACUCCAUCAAAUCCUACGGCCAAGGACCAAUAAGGAUGUGGAGAUUUUGAAUUAAACAAAGUUUUAUUUGGUUGGAUAACUGCAUGAUGACCUCAUGCGAUUAUAUUUGUUUGAUCCCGUCAAACGUGGAUGCUUUUUCAUGGUCUUUUUUAAAUUGGUAAUGAUCCAAUUUGAGAUAAGGGCUGAUGGGAGUUUAAUCCGCACAUGCAAACCACGCCACAUAUCAAAUACAAUUCUUUGAAGAUCAAACCACGUCAGGCAUGCUCGUUCCUAUAAAUACAAGGCUACAAACAAUGGAAAAGGACCCCUACAAAAUCAAUACAAAAUUGCCCUGCGCAAACUCUCACAACUUGUGAUUUUUUCUUUUUCCUUUCUUCGCGCUGACACAUCUUCCGUUGGCAUCAACACCACUGUGGAAGCAACCGGUGAUAUCUUAAGUCGGCAUAGAUAGCUCUGUCACCGUAGAGUCAGUCGGUCUCGCAGUAUCUUCCGUUGGCAUCAACAGCACUGCGGCGAGGACGACUGGUUACCUAUCCAAGUCUCGGUCGAGAAGGAUUUCCGAAUCCCUAUUGGUCGAGGUCAUCUCAUCAGCCUUCUCGGCGAAGUGAGGUGUUACCAGGUUACUGUAUUCGGCACAUUGACAGCCGAAUUUGAGAUUGAACUUCGCAAAUUAGCAGCCUUGUCUUCAGGCUCUAGAACCCAAGAGGCCGAGAAUUGUUCAUUCCUCGGCCGCAAUCGCAAGACACAGAAGUCAGCGGCGCGCUCGACGCAACAUCAUCAAAUUUACUCAUCGGCCGAGCUCGGCCGACGAGUUGGCACGCCCCGCAAUCACCGAAUGACGUAGUUAGCUUAGAAAAUACUCGGCCUGCGCGCCACGUAGGUUUUUGUAGUUUCUAGGGUCAACAUUUUGGCACGCCCAGUGGGACCUAGUGCUAAAACUACGAAGUUCACAUGAUAGAUCAAGAUGUCAAUCUGGCUCCAUUUAGCCGAUUGCACGAGCUCCUAGAGGAAUUGAAAAAAUACAAUGAGGAACAAAAAAGAUCUUUGGAAGUGGAAAAAGUUCUUCGUGGCCAUAGAGAGAUGCAAAAGUCAUUCGCUUACAUGGUGAGAAUAAAAGCUCCUGUUACCUUGCAAGAGCAAUGGGUAAAUGAAGACAAGGCUCGAUUUAAUGCAUGGCUAGAUGAAGAACGUUUUCCUUACGUUUCUGAUUACAGAUCAAUUCCAUUUGAAAAAUGGUUAGGUCCAAAGGUCGGGGGGCAAUUUUUCGCUCCAGCCACAAUCAAAAUUCGGCCUCAAAAAAUUGUUAAGGUGGCCGAAGAAAUAUGUAGGCCACCUGUUGUUUCGGUCGAGACUCAAAGUGUGGUAGGCCUAAAAGAAAAAGUUGAAGUUUCCGAGCCAAAAAUCGACUCAAAAAAUAAUUCGUCAGAAGAGUGCUCCAAUGACGAACAGUGCCAAGACAUGGUCUUAGAUGCCGAAACUAUGACAAUCGAUAUGGUUAUUGGUGAUAAAGCCGAUAUGGAGAAAUCUCAUUCGGCUAAGUUGCUCGAGUUAAAAGCCAAAAUUUGUGAAAUAAUUAUGCCUGGGGGGCAUAAUAAUUGUUCAACACAUUCAGCAGCCGAUGAUAAAAAAUAUUUCGCCAAGUCAAAAAUAUUUGGAGGAAAUUCUUUAUUCAGCCUAGAGCGAAAUCAAUUUGAAGAUUUUGUUAUUACAAGAUCUCGACUUGGAAUAAAGCAUCGUUGGCCUCCUCCUGACUACGGUUCGGCCACUUUUCUUUUCGUUUGUUAAAUAUAUAUAUUAUUUUCUUAAACAUACGGCUAUGCAAGCCGAUGCGUAAGAAAAUAGGGGGCAAUGCCUCGGUAAAAAUUUUGGUCGAAUAAAAGAAAGUUUGGCCGAGUACGAUGAGUUUGGCCGCAUAUAUAUAUACCAAUUCCCCUCGGCCUCGACUUCGGCUCACUUUACAAAAUUAUAAAAGAGGCGGCCAAAGGAUUUUAGUCAGGCAUGGGACCUUUCUGCUUCGGAGCUCAUCAUUCUUUAUUGCAUCACCUCAAAUUUUCUACCAAGAUCAUGGAGUUAUGUUCCUUGCGUAUCAACAGUACAGGCCGAACCAAAAUGACGGCCUGAUAAUCUACAGUUUAAAACAACCAAUAUGGUCCGUGGAAGGCAAGAGGAUUCUGCUCUCGACCAUAUAUAUUUUCGACCAUAGCUUUGGUCAUCAAAUUAAGGUGGUUAGUCGUUAAGCCAAAAACUGUGAUAAAAAUUUGCAUGGCCGACAACAUUAUUCCAAGGCCAAGAUUUGAUUUUGUGUGUGUGUGCAUAUAUAUAUAUAUAUAUAUAUAUAUAUAUAUAUAUAUAUAUAUAUAUGCAUAGCUAAUGAUGUUGGUCUUCGGCCACUCUAAGACCUCGGCCAAUGAUGAGUCCCUCGACCACUAAGCAUAUGGCUAAUGAUCCUCGGCCACUCAAUAAUAAACCUCGGCCAACGAUGAUGUUCCUCGGCCAACUUUUUGCCGAUAUAUGUUAGCCAAGAGGGUUGGUCAAUAACAAAUACUGGGGAAAUCGCCGAGCUGGGCACAAAUGACUAAUUUCCUUAACCGUUCGGCUUACGGGCCGAAGCUCAAGGAAACUGGGGGGCAAUGUUUGGACCCGAUUUUACACCAUCGGCCCAAGUAAUCGAGACCGUUGGGUAAGCAAUUUUAAAGGAUAGUAUUAUGAUUUUUAUCGUAAUAUUUAUCCGUUAAUAUUAAUUACUCUUGGCAUAUUCUUAUUAUAUUUUCAAGCAAGCAGUACAGUUCGAGUGGGCUUGGAAUUCUUGUUAUCAGAUUGAGAUAACAUGAUGGGUGUGAUUAGAAUUGUCAAGAUGCAUGGUUUUCUUCUAUGCGUGGGAUGCCAAGAUGAAAUCUCUGAUAAUGGAGCCGCUCAUAUCCUAGAUGGGAUAAUUAUUAGCAUAAAAAUAUAUGCUAAUAUAUGCAAAUUGGUUGGCUGACUCCAUCAAAUCCUACGGCCAAGGACCAAUAAGGAUGUGGAGAUUUUGAAUUAAACAAAGUUUUAUUUGGUUGGAUAACUGCAUGAUGACCUCAUGCGAUUAUAUUUGUUUGAUCCCGUCAAACGUGGAUGCUUUUUCAUGGUCUUUUUAAAUUGGUAAUGAUCCAAUUUGAGAUAAGGGCUGAUGGGAGUUUAAUCCGCACAUGCAAACCACGCCACAUAUCAAAUACAAUUCUUUGAAGAUCAAGCCACGUCAGGCAUGCUCGUUCCUAUAAAUACAAGGCUACAAACAAUGGAAAAUGACCCCUACAAAAUCAAUACAAAAUUGCCCUGCGCAAACUCUCACAACUUGUGAUUUUUCUUUUUCCUUUCUUCGCUGACACAUCUUCCGUUGGCAUCAACACCACUGUGGAAGCAACCGGUGAUAUCUUAAGUCGGCAUAGAUAGCUCUGUCACCGUAGAGUCAGUCGGUCUCGCAGUAUCUUCCGUUGGCAUCAACAGCACUGCGGCGAGGACGACUGGUUACCUAUCCAAGUCUCGGUCGAGAAGGAUUUCCGAAUCCCUAUUGGUCGAGGUCAUCUCAUCAGCCUUCUCGGCGAAGUGAGGUGUUACCAGGUUACUGUAUUCGGCAUAUUGACAGCCGAAUUUGAGAUUGAACUUCGCAAAUUAGCAGCCUUGUCUUCAGGCUCUAGAACCCAAGAGGCCGAGAAUUGUUCCUUCCUCGGCCGCAAUCGCAAGACACAGAAGUCAACGGCGCGCUCGACGCAACAUCAUCAAAUUUACUCCUCGGCCGAGCUCGGCCGACGAGUUGGCACGCCCCGCAAUCACCGAAGGACGUAGUUAGCUUAGAAAAUACUCGGCAUGCGCGCCACGUAGGUUUUUGUAGUUUCUAGGGUCAACAAUAUGAGAUACCAAUCUUCAAACUGAAGGAAUAACUUGUUAGAUCAAACACUUUGAAACUGCAUCAACAUGUGAAUAUUUUCCUGUAGUGUGUACUUAUGGACGAAAUUGAAAACGGUGAUUCAAACUUUAAAAGAAAUGCAGAAUUGGGGAUGUUUGUACCACAUUACAUCGACCUCAAAAACACCGAGUACUGGUCAACUAGGAAGCCUCAGUAACCCUCCAAAGGAUCCCCGCUUCAGCAAGGGUGCCGAACCCACGAUCAACCUCAAAACAAGUGAGAGUCACGAUACGUGGUUAUUCCCGUGAGUCCUAAUGUGAGAAUUCUCCCCAACUUGGAGUCAAUCACAAUGCAACAAGUGCAACACCACAUUAAUACAUUCAAACCCACAUUGGCCAAAGUCAAGAAAUCUACUCAAACUUUGCCUCUAUAAAAAGGUAACUUCUGCUCCAUUCAAAGGGUUAAUCACAUUUACUAUCCAACACUAUUUACCAUAAAACUCACCCACGCAGCACCCUAAACUUACUAGCUAACUUAAUCGAAGGCUCUUAGGCUAGUACCACACCCUUCGAUACUUACUCUAUCUUCCUUGCAGGUUGCUUUGCCCGUCUACCUUUGACCAGAGCGCCCUCACGAACAUCCUCUCAUCACUCUUUAGUCUUUACAUUGAUUCAAGAUCAAAUCGAUUUUGUGCAUCAACAGGAGAGGUCUCAAAAAUCAGAUAGGGUCUUAGGUGUCUCCCUCUUUUUGACCUGCUCGGAAAUUUAGAGCCGCCCAAUCACUAGGGACCAACAUUUCAAUUCGAAGUAUUUCUGUUCUAAUUUGCAACCCUACCUUGUUGUAUCCUAGUAUAAUUAGGUGCAAAAACACAGAUAAAUUCCACUAAAUCAUCAUCUAAUUAGCCAUUUAUUUGAAUUCUGAUAAAUAAUCCCUAUCCAGCAUGAACUGAUUUACAAGAAACAGACACAAUUGCAUUUGCAAUCAAUCAAAGUUGAAUUUAAUUAGCCAUUUAUAUAACUAAAUUGAAUUAACUACCAACUAAUUUGCAAUCCAAAUUUCACAAAUAUUGCUAAUAAGAUUUAGUUUUGGGGUUUUUACCAGGAUUAUUCCAUGCGAUUAACGAACGAUCAAAUCGCUUCCACGCCACGAAUCGUUGGGGAUGCAAUCAAUGUGACUAGCCGAUGAUGGAGAGAAUCGACUCGGCCACGAUCGCAGGGGUCCAUUGCACGUCGUCGUUUUGGUCUUCCAAAGCUGUGAAGUGGAAAGUAGAAAGCAUGAGGAGGAGAGAAACUGGGUUUUUCCUUCCUUUUUUUGUUUGGGCCGACUGGCGAUUCUAUUUGCUUAUGAGCC
rnacentral:lncRNA from 1 species